rnacentral:tRNA from 1 species
AGGGGUGUAGUUCAGUGGUAGAGCGCUUGUCUAGCAGGCAAGAGGCUCUGGGUUCCAUACUCACCACCAUAA